GACGAACGCUGGCGGCGUGCCUAAUACAUGCAAGUUGAGCGAUGAAGAUUGGUGCUUGCACCAAUUUGAAGAGCAGCGAACGGGUGAGUAACGCGUGGGGAAUCUGCCUUUGAGCGGGGGACAACAUUUGGAAACGAAUGCUAAUACCGCAUAACAACUUUAAACAUAAGUUUUAAGUUUGAAAGAUGCAAUUGCAUCACUCAGAGAUGAUCCCGCGUUGUAUUAGUUAGUUGGUGAGGUAAAGGCUCACCAAGGCGAUGAUACAUAGCCGACCUGAGAGGGUGAUCGGCCACAUUGGGACUGAGACACGGCCCAAACUCCUACGGGAGGCAGCAGUAGGGCAUCUUCGGCCAUGGACGAAAGUCUGAGCGAGCAACGCCGAGUGAGUGAAGAAGGUUUUCGGAUCGUAAAACUCUGUUGGUAGAGAAGAACGUUGGUGAGAGUGGAAAGCUCAUCAAGUGACGGUAACUACCCAGAAAGGGACGGCUAACUACGUG
rnacentral:rRNA from 1 species